GAUGAACGCUGGUGGCGUGCCUAAUACAUGCAAGUCGAGCGAACGGACGAGAAGCUUGCUUCUCUGGUGUUAGCGGCGGACGGGUGAGUAACACGUGGAUAACCUACCUAUAAGACUGGGAUAACUUCGGGAAACCGGAGCUAAUACCGGAUAAUAUUUUGAACCGCAUGGUUCAAAAGUGAAAGACGGUCUUGCUGUCACUUAUAGAUGGAUCCGCGCUGCAUUAGCUAGUUGGUAAGGUAACGGCUUACCAAGGCAACGAUGCAUAGCCGACCUGAGAGGGUGAUCGGCCACACUGGAACUGAGACACGGUCCAGACUCCUACGGGAGGCAGCAGUAGGGAAUCUUCCGCAAUGGGCGAAAGCCUGACGGAGCAACGCCGCGUGAGUGAUGAAGGUCUUCGGAUCGUAAAACUCUGUUAUUGGGGAAGAACAGAUGUGUAAGUAACUGUGCACAUCUUGACGGUACCUAAUCAGAAAGCCACGGCUAACUACGUG
rnacentral:rRNA from 1 species